CAGCUGAGUUACUCCAGCAUUUUGUAUCCAACUUCGGUGAAUGAAACGUCGGCGGUGGAGCAGCGCCACACAGAGGCGAUGCUCAGUAACUGCAACUGUCUGAAGAAGGGUCUC